rnacentral:rRNA from 1 species
UACGUAGGGUGCGAACGUUGUCCGGAAUUAUUGGGCGUAAAGAGCUUGUAGGCGGUUUGUCGCGUCUGCCGUGAAAGCCCAGGGCUUAACCCUGGGUCUGCGGUGGGUACGGGCAGACUAGAGUGUGGUAGGGGAGACUGGAAUUCCUGGUGUAGCGGUGAAAUGCGCAGAUAUCAGGAGGAACACCGAUGGCGAAGGCAGGUCUCUGGGCCACUACUGACGCUGAGAAGCGAAAGCAUGGGGAGCAAACAGG